rnacentral:rRNA from 1 species
UACGGGGGGAGCAAGCGUUGUUCGAAUUUACUGGGCGUAAAGGGCGCGUAGGCGGCGCAACAAGUCACUUGUGAAAUCUCCGGGCUUAACCCGGAGCGGCCAAGUGAUACUGUCGUGCUAGAGUGCGGAAGGGGCUACUGGAAUUCUCGGUGUAGCGGUGAAAUGCGUAGAUAUCGAGAGGAACACCUGCGGCGAAGGCGGGUAGCUGGGCCGACACUGACGCUGAGGCGCGAAAGCCAGGGGAGCGAACGGG